GACGAACGCUGGCGGCGGUGCUUAACACAUGCAAGUCGAGCGGUAAGGCCCUUUCGGGGGUACACGAGCGGCGAACGGGUGAGUAACACGUGGGUGACCUGCCCUUAGCUCUGGGAUAAGCCUGGGAAACUGGGUCUAAUACCGGAUAUGACUCCAUGACGCAUGUUGUGGGGUGGAAAGCCUUGUGCGGCUAGGGAUGGGCCUGCGGCCUAUCAGCUUGUUGGUGGGGUGAUGGCCUACCAAGGCGACGACGGGUAGCCGGCCUGAGAGGGCGACCGGCCACACUGGGACUGAG
rnacentral:rRNA from 1 species